AAUAUUUUGGAAGCAGGGUGUGGUUGGCUAAAUUAUUGCUCCUCCCACAGCUCUCUGCUAUGUUUCCAGUUUCACAGGGAAAAACACAAGCUUGUAUGUUGAGAGUGAGUCAUAACCUUUCUUCUGCUACUGACUCACUUGGGAGUUUGAGGGUCGCGUGUUAGUUUUGUUGGAGAGGGGUGCAGGCUCUCUGUUACUCGUCGAGAGAGCUGGCAGAUGUCCCAAGUGAGAGAACCUCUUCCUCCGGGGCCUGGAGGGCCAGAGCAAGCUCCGACUGAAAACAGCUCUUUGAUCUCUCUCCCUCGAGGAAAAACUGACCAAGAGACUGCUGUGGCAGGAGAUAAAGACAUAAACCAGCCUUCCAGUAAUCAAAGUAUACAAGCAGAGAUACAAGAGCAGUCCAUCUGGGGAAAUCGCACUGAUGGUGACCUCAUCAGAACACAACCUCAACGUUUGCCUCAGCCAAAUGCUUCAGCACUGGAAAGGAGUGAGGAAGAAAGUGGCAUAAUCCAAAAUGGCCAUGUGGGUCUGAGUAAUGGAAGUGGAAUUCGCAACGGGGUCAAGCAUAUGCCUGCAGACAACAGAAAGCUUUCAUCUCCUGUUUCAGAAAAAAUGCACAGAAAAAUUCAGUCCACCUUGUCUGUCAACAGCAACAGCAGCAAGAAGAGUAAAAUAAGCUCUGUGUUUUCUCAAAAGCCAGGUACUUCACCAGAAGAUUGCUGUGUUCACUGUAUCCUGGCUUGCUUGUUCUGUGAAUUUCUCACCCUCUGUAACAUUGUUCUGGGACAAGCAUCCUGUGGCAUCUGCACGUCGGAAGCCUGCUGCUGUUGCUGUGGGGACGAGAUGGGGGAUGACUGUAACUGCCCAUGUGAUAUGGACUGUGGCAUAAUGGAUGCAUGUUGUGAAUCUUCAGAUUGCUUGGAGAUCUGCAUGGAAUGCUGUGGGAUCUGCUUCCCAUCAUGAAAUAUUUAUCCCUUUCUUUUUUAUUCUCUAUAAAACUGGAGAGCUUUUCUUUAAAUACAUUUGAAGAAAGACAAGUGAAUUCAGUUUGUGCAAAUGUGACAAGCUAAAGAUCACAGGAGUGUGAAGCUAAGUCAACAAAUGCUCUGAUAUUAACCAACGUUUCUUCUUGUGAACACUGACUAGUAGUGCCUACUACUGCAAGUUAUCACUGAAGCCGAAUCCUUAACUGUGCUAAGGAGCUGGGAAGUGUUACCUUUUGCCUUAGCGUAUGCAAUAUUGUGGUGUAUUCUGGUGCAAUGCAGAUUCAACCUCAGAGGGUUUCCUAAUCUGUUUUUUGAUAGUUGCUACAAGUAUUCUUCUUAUAUUUGGGAUGUUUUUUCCACAUAUUGGGCCAAAUUCUGAUCUGUAUUGCGUAAGCUAAGUGCAUUUCCGUUCAUGUCAGAAUUUAUAUUGGUUAAAUUCCAGUUAGAGAGCACAAAAAUAUUAUGGUAAUAGGCAGGCUAAUAAGGAAUAAUAUAGUUAAAUAGAUAAAUUCCCAGUGCUCAGAAUCAGGCUCAUGGGGCUCAAUUAUGACUCCUAAAAGGCUGAACCACAUUGGGAAGGUGGAAGAGUGCCUUGGUUGAGUGGCAUUGCCUGGAGGCAUUUUGUCUUUUACGGCAUAAUGCCUCUGGGGAAAUUGGGGGCAUCACACUGGGACUCAAUGCACCUUGGAAAAAGUCUAGACAGUACUUUGUCCAUUGUAGGUCUGUGGUUGACACCGUGGUUGUGGGAACAUGUUCUCUGGGGCUAGACAGCACCAUGAACUGUCUUUCCUCAUGUCCUUCUGGUCACAGAGAGGUGAAUUAUGGCCGUUUCUUGUCUGAUUGUGCUUUUGGGACCGGGAAGAGGAGUCCCAGUCUCUUGUCCUGCCCCAAUAUCCAUGCCCUGCUGGAACAGGUCCAGUUCUGUGCUUGGAAAAUGCACAUCUGUGUAUCAUGAUUUUAGUGAAUGCUAAAUCUUACUAAAAAUUACUUUUACCACAGGUUGAUAUGGUUUAAAAAAAUAUAAAAUACCAAUCUAGGGAGUUAUUUUCCUGUGUAAAAGUUAUCUACAGAGUUUGUCCUGCACAAGACCUUCUUUCUACUUACUGGAACUUACUGGAUUUUUGAUUUAUUGAAAUUAUAAAACCAGUAAUUACUAGAACUUUGUUCAUGCAUACGUGUAUAUGCUUUUUCUCAGACACAUGGACGUACACACACAGAUAUGUCUUUUCCCACUUUAUUUGUGAAAUGCUAGGAAGUAAAAAUAGUGUUAUUAAAUCUCAUAAUGAUUAGAAGUAUCAAAGUGUUACAGACAAUUGGAAAAAAAAAGUGUAUUUUGUUUGACAUUUAAAUGUAAUCUGCUACUGUUUGUCAUAGAGAUAUUAGCACUUUUGAAAAAUGUAUCUUUGAAGCAGAGAAUAUUAGUAUGUAGUUUAAGGAAUUCCUUUUUAUAUUUAUAUCCUUAAAUUCUGUUUUGUAAUUUUCACUCUAUAAUCAGUCUUGUAAGCACCUUGUAUAAUAAAAAAAAAAGCAGAAUCAGAAGUCAAAUGUGAAAAUAGAGUUUAAAUAAAAUGAAAACAUUAGAACUUAAUUUCUAUUUUAUAAUAGUUCUUGUGAACGUGUACAGUGUUUUAGUUUAUAGUUCUGCAAACUGGCCCAUUUGAAAGACAUGCUGUUUGUAUUUUAUAUCAAUUGGAUGUGCUACUUAUAAACACUAUUUUGAAAUAAAGAUCUUUAU